ensembl:lncRNA
AAAAUCAAUAAAACAAUUUCAGAUAGAUAGUACUGUAGAUACCUCUCUAACCCCAGCUACCUUAAAAUUAACAAAGAUCUUCACCAAGAUGGCCAGACGAGAACUCCUAAGGAAAUUCGACCCCUGGCGUCCCCUGGACUUUUGCUGGGUUGAGGACUUACCACAGCCUUCCAUCUUUCUCAACUCUAAACUCUAUCAUCGUUCUUUCUCUUCUUGCCCUUGGGAGAUAGUAGUUGAAGAUAUUUGUCCUUAUGGUACCAUGUCGUUAAUUUCCAAACUUUCGUUGAUCGUUUUCAACAUCUCAUACCUUUCCUUACCCUUCACCGAAUUUGUAAAUCUAUAUAUAUCUAUCAGCUGGUAGAUUUUAGCACAGGUCUCUCAGAUGAUGUAGAAUUAGUUAACGAGUAAUGUUAUGAUGAUGCGAUGAAACACUGAUGUCCAGCCACGAGCACAGCAACCACUCCCAAAAUGUCAAUGAGCUGCACUGUUGCAGAAGUCACAUCAAAGGGUCACCCUUAGAACCAGUCGUGUGUGGUAAAUAUACGCAGAAUAUUUCUGUGACAGCAUGCACUCGUACCUUUUAGAGAUAUAAAAUAGUAGGAGCAGAAAUUUUUGGAUAAAAACACAACACACACAACGACAUAUAGACAACCAAACAGGACAACACCAAUACACAUAAACACAAACACCAUGGUUUUCAGUUUCUCUUUUUUUAUAUAUAUAUAUAUUAACACAACAGGUCCGGAUGGAAUCAUAGUUGAGAACCUAAAGAGAGGAAACAAUUAGUCAUUGUUCUUCCUUAGCAGCCAUUCCUUGGAUAUAAAAUACUGCACCUGUUGGACUAAAUCACAUUAGAAAGAGAGUUAGUAUCAGCAAGCGGCGACAGAGGCUUCACUUGUGCAAGAUGCAUCCAUCAAGUCAAGCCUGGCUCGAUUUCAACAAGAAGAGAUGUUGGAGUAGUCAACAACACCGAAUAAGGACCCUCAUACCGAGAGGACAUUGGUCCUAAGUUCCCUAUUUUCUGUAUCAUCACUUCGUCGUGUACGUGAUUUUUAACUUUUACAUUGAAUAUAGUGUUUUUAAGAGCUCCAGCAUGUUGAGCACUGAGGGCACUGAAAUGGGCAUUCUUAAUGCGCACGUGAGUACUUUAAAGACUCCCAACGUGUGGCUUUGCUGAUAUCUGGGGUAUCAUUGAUAGAUAAGAAAAGAUCAAUUCUUUUAUUAAUAAAAUCUACAAAGGAUGAAUCA